AGUCGAGGGGUAGCAUGAUUGUAGCAAUACAAUUGAUGACGACCGGCAAACGGGUGCGGAACACGUACACAACCUUCCUACAAGUGGGGAAUAGCCCAGAGAAAUUUGGAUUAAUACCCCGUAACAUAGCGAUGUGGCAUCACAUUGCUAUUAUAGCUUCGGCGCUUGUUGAUGGGUGUGCGGCUGAUUAGAUAGUUGGCGGGGUAACGGCCCACCAAGUCUACGAUCAGUAGCUGAUGUGAGAGCAUGAUCAGCCACACGGGCACUGAGACACGGGCCCGACUCCUACGGGAGGCAGCAGUAAGGAAUAUUGGACAAUGGACGCAAGUCUGAUCCAGCCAUGCCGCGUGAAGGAUUAAGGUCCUCUGGAUUGUAAACUUCUUUUAUAAGGGACGAAAAAAGGUCUUUCUAGAUCGUCUGACGGUACCUUAUGAAUAAGCACCGGCUAACUCCGUGCCAGCAGCCGCGGUAAUACGGAGGGUGCAAGCGUUAUCCGGAUUCACUGGGUUUAAAGGGUGCGUAGGCGGGCAGGUAAGUCAGUGGUGAAAUCCUAGAGCUCAACUCUAGAACUGCCAUUGAUACUAUCUGUCUUGAAUAUUGUGGAGGUAAGCGGAAUAUGUCAUGUAGCGGUGAAAUGCUUAGAUAUGACAUAGAACACCUAUUGCGAAGGCAGCUUACUACGCAUAUAUUGACGCUGAGGCACGAAAGCGUGGGGAUCAAACAGGAUUAGAUACCCUGGUAGUCCACGCCCUAAACGAUGGAUACUCGACAUACGCGAUACACUGUGUGUGUCUGANCGAAAGCAUUAAGUAUCCCACCUGGNAAGUACGUCCGCANGGAUGAAACUCAANGAAUUGGNGGGGGUCCGCACAAGCGG
rnacentral:rRNA from 1 species